CUCUUAUAAAUACACGUCGCCAAGUUGUGACGUCCUCUGUGGAGACGGUUCCUCUUUAGUUGCCUCCUCUUCUCAACAUGAGGGCUAAGUGGAGGAAGAAGCGCAUGCGCAGGCUGAAGCGUAAAAGGAGAAAGAUGAGGCAGAGGUCCAAGUAAACUGUCCUCUCCGCCAUGGCUGUGACAGCACAUGUUGCCAACAACCAGACCGGUGAGCUCAACUGGAGACCCAGGACCAUGCCGGCGUCAAGUCUGACGCCAGCGGCACCCAUAUCAACGUGAGGCCGCAGAUUGAUGCUGGAGAGCGGAUUCAAGACCUGCUGGAUGACGGGCUUUUCUCUGGGACCCUCGGGACUCUUUGUUCUUAAUUCCUCAACUUUUGUCAUUUGUUCUUGUUUAUAAUUUGAUUAAAGUUUUUGGUUUAGAAAAUGGCAAA